rnacentral:rRNA from 1 species
CGAGGACGAACGCUGGCGGUGUGCUUCACACAUGCAAGUCGAACGAGGUAGCAAUACCUAGUGGCGGAGGGUGAGUAACGCGUGGGAAUCUGCCUUUAGAUGGGGGAUAACGGGUCGAAAGACUCGCUAAUACCGCAUAUGACGAAAGUUGAAAGGAGUAAUCCGUCUAAAGAUGAGCCCGCGUCCGAUUAGCUAGUUGGUAGAGUAAAAGCCUACCAAGGCGACGAUCGGUAGCUGGUCUGAGAGGAUGAUCAGCCACAAUGGGACUGAGACACGGCCCAUACUCCUACGGGAGGCAGCAGUGGGGAAUUUUACGCAAUGGGCGAAAGCCUGACGUAGCGACACCGCGUGAGCGAAGAAGCCCCUUGGGGUGUAAAGCUCUGUCAGCUGGAACGAAAAAAAUGACGGUACCAGCAGAGGAAGCAUCGGCUAACUACGUG